rnacentral:rRNA from 1 species
UACAGAGGGUGCAAGCGUUAAUCGGAAUUACUGGGCGUAAAGCGUGCGUAGACGGUUGCGUAAGUCAGAUGUGAAAUCCCCGGGCUUAACCUGGGAACUGCACUUGUGACUGCAUGGCUGGAGUACGGCAGAGGGGGAUGGAAUUCCGCGUGUAGCAGUGAAAUGCGUAGAUAUGCGGAGGAACACCGAUGGCGAAGGCAAUCCCCUGGGCCUGUACUGACGCUCAUGCACGAAAGCGUGGGGAGCAAACAGG